rnacentral:SRP_RNA from 1 species
GAUUGGGUGUCUGCACUAAGUUUGGCAUCAAUAUGGUGAUGUCCCGGGAGAGGGGAACCACCAGGUUGCUUAAGGAGAGGUGAACCGGCCCAGGUCAGAAAUGGAGCAGGUCAAAACUCUGGUACUGAUCAGUAGUGGGAUCAUGCCUGU